CAACUGGGACAGAAUAUGAAAUGGAAACAAGGAAACUUCUCUUUGUAUACAUUUGCAGCAAAGACAAUACUGAAGCUGCAAGAGCAAUUGGUGACGGAAGUAGAAUGCUCUUUAAUAAAUAAAACUGGCUUCCAGAAUGGCUGGAUAGGAAGAUCCUCAAUGAAACAAACAUCUGGUUGUGUUUUAUUUUAUUAAAAAAGAAAGGAA